CACUCCUGCGGGAGGCAGCAGUGGGGAAUUUUGGACAAUGGGCGAAAGCCUGAUCCAGCAAUGCCGCGUGAGUGAAGAAGGCCUUCGGGUUGUAAAGCUCUUUUGUCAGGGAAGAAACGGUGAAAGCUAAUAUCUUUUGCUAAUGACGGUACCUGAAGAAUAAGCACCGGCUAACUACGUGCCAGCAGCCGCGGUAAUACGUAGGGUGCAAGCGUUAAUCGGAAUUACUGGGCGUAAAGCGUGCGCAGGCGGUUUUGUAAGUCUGAUGUGAAAUCCCCGGGCUCAACCUGGGAAUUGCAUUGGAGACUGCAAGGCUAGAAUCUGGCAGAGGGGGGUAGAAUUCCACGUGUAGCAGUGAAAUGCGUAGAUAUGUGGAGGAACACCGAUGGCGAAGGCAGCCCCCUGGGUCAAGAUUGACGCUCAUGCACGAAAGCGUGGGGAGCAAACAGGAUUAGAAACCCCGGUAGUCCC
rnacentral:rRNA from 1 species